rnacentral:rRNA from 1 species
AGAGUUUGAUCCUGGCUCAGGAUAAACGCUGGCGGCGUGCCUAACACAUGCAAGUCGAACGCUCUCGGGGAACCGAGAGAGUGGCGGACGGGUGAGGAACACGUGGGUCAUCUACCUCUGGGUGAGGAAUACCGGCGAGAAAUCGCCGACAAUACCGCAUAGCUUGCGCGCUGGGGAGUGCGCAAGAAAGUCGCAAGACG